rnacentral:rRNA from 1 species
CGCGAAUCGCCCUUCGGGGUGCCCAGGCGCGAAAACUUUACAAUGCGGGAAACCGUGAUAAGGGAACUCCGAGUGCCCGUAAAAUCGGGCUGUCCAUCUGUUUAAAUAACAGGUGAAGAAAGGGCCGGGCAAGACCGGUGCCAGCCGCCGCGGUAAUACCGGCGGCUCGAGUGGUGGCCACUAUUACUGGGCUUAAAGCGUUCGUAGCUGGUCUGUUAAGUCUCUGGGGAAAUCUACUGGCUUAACCAAUAGGCGUUUCAGGGAUAUUGGCAGACUAGGGACCGGGAGAGGUGAGAGGUACUCCAGGGGUAGGAGUGAAAUCCUGUAAUCCUUGGGGGACCACCUGUGGCGAAGGCGUCUCACCAGAACGGCUCCGACAGUGAGGGACGAAAGCUGGGGGAGCAAACCGGAUUAGAUACCCGGGUAGUCCCAGCCGUAAACGAUGCGCGUUAGGUGUAUCGGUGACCACGAGCCACCGAGGUGCCGAAGAGAAACCGUGAAACGUGCCGCCUGGGAAGUACGGUCGCAAGGCUGAAACUUAAAGGAAUUGGCGGGGGAGCAC